rnacentral:lncRNA from 1 species
CUAUCAGCAAGGCUUGAAGAAAGCUUCACGGGACUGAAGGGGAACCAGGACACCUUCUGUGGAGUCCUCCCACACAUAGGCCAGGCCUGAAAACUCAGUUUUGGUUUCCUGUUCCAGGAACCUCUGCUGCGCGAGUUUGCAGAGACAAGUGGGUGGAGGUGUUAAGGCGCAGGGAGUCAGAUGGGCUGCUUCUGCAUUGUGCCGCAGUCUGCCCUGAGCAGAGGAGUGGGGCCUCAAUGUGCAGGGAAUGGGGCACUGCACCGACACAUACACUGUGACUUACUAGCCAAGUUUAGCAAGCAAGACAGAAGUGAACUGACAAAUAGCACACAUUCCCAGUGCUGUGAGUGAGUGACUUCCCUGCUGAACUGGCUGACAGCUCCCAGCACUGCAGAGGCAUUCUCCAGUGCUCAGUUCACAACGUGGCAACUACACAUGUGAUGGCACCGUAGAAUUUAAUCUGCACUGUGACAUUUGUCCCCAUCACCUUCUUCAGUCUAGAUGUGCAAUAAAAGGACAUGUCC